GGAGGGACACAUCCGAUUCAAGUCAUUUGGAGCCCUGAACCAGCCGCGUCGGCCCCAAGGUCGCGGCUAAAAAGUUACUUACCGUAACAGAUUGGCGCUAGAAGGAGGGCCAUUCCAAAUGUCAGGCGAUCAGCAAAUCUACCCCGGCGGAUCCUCAAAUGCGGAGCCCCCCGCCUUAGGGGAACGGCGUGACGAAACCCACGACGAACGCCCCGCAGCAGUGUCAGAACGCU
rnacentral:lncRNA from 1 species